AGGUAGUGUAGGACAUCAUGCCCAGGGGUAAAUGAUUGACAUUUUACAAAAUAUUUAGAUUAGAUGGUGAUAGUUUAACUUUUGGAGACUACCCUUCAAUUCCAAUUGGUUAGUUAAUUAAUCCCAGGGGUUGAGUUUUAGACAGAAAGAAGGGAUAAAUUAGGAGACACUGGGGUACUAAAAAAGAAGAGGAGGAAAAAGAAUUAAAAAAAGAAGAAACUAAAAAAGGAAGGAGGAUAAGAAAAGCAGGGCUGACUGAAGAAGAAAAACUCUACAUCUGAAAGAAAGAGAAGGAAAGAAAUCUAAAACUACUUGGAGACUCUCAACUAUAAGAAGACUCAUUCUUCAACUAAAAAGAAAAGAACCAGUGGGGUUUAAAGAUCCAGAAAGUGAGAUCAGGGUGACAUCACAGGCCAGUGAAAACUCUACAUCUGCAGGACUACUUUUAGCAGACCUCAACCGUAACAAUCGGCGGAAACUGUGUAUCAUCAUCUUUAAAAAUGGAACACUCAGCAAACACAGCUUUGAAAGCCGGCCCAGGCAUGUGGAAUGGGGUAAAGUCACGUACCCAAACAAGCACAUGGAGGAUAUGAAAG